rnacentral:lncRNA from 1 species
AAAAGAGCUCCAGUUUAUUAUGCUGUACAGCCUUGUUGAUAUACAUUUUUUCAAGCAUGAUCAAUGCGUGAACAGUAGAUAAUCCCCAAUCACCAUUUAGAGAAGCAGCUUAUGGGCUUUGUGUAUGCAUGGUAUCUGCCAAUGGGAGGAGAGUCAAUCCAGGAAUUCAGCAGCUUGCACUUAGGCAAGAGGCCCUGUUUAGGCAUCUCUGUUCAUGUAGCCACUGGCUGUGACCCUCAGCUUACACCCUUUCCCAUGAUCACAAAUCAAUGCUCCUUGUUCAGCAAGGGCGUUUUUGCAACGUCGCAGAAAAUUUAUUGUGCAUCAAGGGUUGAGGUGGCCUCAGUACUCCCUCUCAGCAGAAUCCUAUAUUCUUGCAGAAAACUUUUACCCUAAAAAUGAAAUCCAUGAAAACUGGAAUAGACAUCAUCUAUAUUAGAAAUCAACAACUCCAUGAGGCAGUAAGACAUACUGAGUAAAAUUUAAAAAGUGAAAAAAUAGAAGAAAAUAUAAUUUAUUUGAUAUUCAAAACAAUUGACUUGGAAAACAAGUAAAGAAGAGAGAAUUUAAUAAUAUUAGAAUACCCAAAAAUCCUGAUUAAACAAUAAAAGCAUGAUGUAUUAAUUUUAAAUUAUAAAUAAAAAUUGCCAUCUAUUAAAAUUGAAGGUCAAAGUAAAAACAGAAAGAAGGAACCCAAUUAUCUCCUGAAAGGAACUCAAAAAAGAAAAUCCCCAGGAAUAUUACAAUCAAAAGCCAAAGCUCCCAUAUCAAAAAAAAAAAAAAAAAAUACUGUAAGCAUCCAGAAAUAAGCAAUUUGAAAAUCAAGGAACUAAAAUCUAUUACACAAGACCAGGAAACUCCUAUUAUAAAUAAGAGGAAAUUCUAAAAUACAGUAUUUGUUAUUGUUCAGUCAUUUCAGUCAUCUUCAACUCUUCAUGACCCCAUUGAAGGUUUUCUGGCAAAGAUACAGGAAUGGUUUGCUACCAUUUCUUUCUCUAGCUCAUUUUACAGAUGAGGAAACUGAGGCAAACAAGGCUAAGUGAUCUUGCCCCGGUUCAAACAAUUACUAGGUAUCUGAGGCUGGAUUUGAACUGAAGAAAAUGAGUCUUUCUCACUCAAGAGAUGGCCACUUGAAAUACAAUAUUAUAAAAUGUAAAAGAGGUGGACUUAUAACCAAGAACAAUUUACCUUGCAAAAGUGAAUAUAAUCCUAUGGGGACAAGAGGCAUGAACCUUUAAUGGAAUAGAAGAUAUAAUCAUUUCUAAUAAAAAGACCAGAGCUGAAUAGAAACUUUGAACUACAAACACAAGUCCAGAACUUUGUAGAAACUUUGAAAUACAAACAUGAGUCCUGAGAAACUUAGAAAGGUAAAUUUAUUUGAUCAGUUUAAAAUGAAUGAUGAUGCAAUACUCCUAUUCUAGUAGGAGAAAAGAAAAAGGUGUCUCUGGAGAGCCUUAAUAUUUUCAAAAGAUAUUGAGGAAGCUAAUUAAGAAAAUCAGAGGUCUUGAAGGGGGACUGGUUUACUUUUAGUGUAUAAAGGAAAGAAAAGAGGAUAAAAGAAGGAAUACACUAGUGUAGAAAGAAAGACAUGAAACUCUUUCUUAUAAUUGGGGUAAGAAAGAAAAAGAAAAUACAAACAUGGAGAAAGGGGUAGAGGAAAUGAGCAUCAAAAGAAUUUCUUUCUUACCUAAAAAUGAUGAAGGAGAAUUGAACAUGCCUGCAGAAAGUUUGGUGGAGAAAUUCAUCAUACUCAACAGGGAAACAAGCAGGAUUGGUAUGGGAUGCAGUUAUAAGAGAGAAAUUGAUACUGGGGGAGAGGAUCAAUCCAAACAAACUUCCUAUUCCUGAAAAGGAAAUUUGUUCUUUCAGUUUUAAUGGGGGAGAAGAGGUUGAGCAAUAGUAAUGCUAAAUAAAGAGGGCAAUUAUAACACUUUUCAGAAGGAAGCACUAACAAAAAUGACAAUUUUAAAAGUUUUAUAUAUAUAAUAAUGCAUAUAUAAUAUAAUUAUAUAUAUAAUAUAAUAAAAAAUCAGGAAGCAUGAAAUAGAGAUUCAUAGCUUCAUAUCCUCAUAAAGAAGGGGUUUUUUUGGUAUUUCACUGUGUGUACAAAAAUCCCCCCUCUCUCUUUCCCUUUUUCUUUCUCUGUCUCUAUUUAUGUCUGUCUGUCUGUCUGUCUGUCUGUCUCUCUCUCUCUCUCUCUCUCAUGUUUGCAUGUGUUUCUGUGUAACUUCAGAAUUUUAAAUAACAAUGCAUCUGAAAGCUUCCUACAUAGGAGAUCUAUCUAUCCUUGCCACCCCAACAUCACUGCUGCUUCUACCACCCAUAGUCUUCCCAAAAUAUUAAUAAUUUCCUCCCUUCUCCCUGUAGUUUUUUUGGGAGUUGACCAAGUAGUAUAGUCCAGUAUAGGUGUAAUGCUGGGUCUGAAAUCAAGAAGACCUGAAUUCAAAUUUGACCUCAGACAAAAUUAUGAGCUCUGUGUCCUCAUCUAUUAAAAUAAUAAUCAUAGUACUUUAUUCCAGUAUUGUUGGGAAGAUCAAAGGAGAUAAUAUAUGUAUGUAAAAUAAAUAUAUAUAUAUUUAAAAGAAUCUAAAACUUUAUGCAAACUUUAAAGUACUGUAUAUUAGCCAUUAUUAUUAUUUUUUUAAAAAAUAAUGUCAAUUCCCAGAGAGAUACUCUUAUACUGUAUACACAGCCCCCUGGUGUUAUUCAGGACCCUCACAUAAGGAGAGCAAUUUCUAUGCUCAAAACCUUGUAAAAGAUAUGCCUCUUCCCCUCCCCUCCAAAAAUAAGGAUGCCAUACCUCUCAUGACAAGGAUCACUUACAUAAAGGCUAAAGAUAACUUACAUAAAAGGCUAAAAGAAAACAACGAUUUUUAAGUUCUUUACAAUUUCUCUAUAACCUACCUUUCCAAACUUAUUUCACAUUAAUUCCUUUCAUGCACUUUUCUUGCUGUUUCCCACCAACAGUUUCUCCCCCAGCUUUGACUUUGCCCCAAUGCCCAUCAAGUUUGGAAUGCACUAUAUCCUCACCUCUGCCUUAAAAUCUGUAGCUUUUGUCAACAUCCCAUGCAAAAGCCACCUCCUGAACUCUUCCAUGAUUUCCAUAGAUUCCAAUACUUGCUUCCUCCCUCAAAAGAAAAAAAAAUUGCUUAGAUUUUAUACAUAAUCCUCUGUAUCCAUGAUGUCUCUCUCAAUAGAAUGUAAAUUCCAUGUGGGCAGGAAUAAUUGCAUUUUUUUUUCUUUGUCAUCUCAGUAACUAGUAUAAUGUCUGGCUGGUGCUUGUAAAAUCAUUGAUACAAUACAAUGGAAUUUGAUAGAAUACAAUAUAAGACCACCCAACAAAAUACAAUACAAUACAAAGCCACAUUUAUUAAAUACCUACUUUGUGAAAAACCCUAUUUAGACUCUAAGAGACAUCCAAAAUUUAGACUAUCACUCUAGAAUCUGGUUUCUGAACAAGAAAGGAAAAGUCAGUAAUGAAACCAGAAGGCUGGCAUUGUGUAGCAACAACUCAGAUCAUCACUGGAGGAAAGAACUUGAAGUGUUUACAUACCAUCAGCAAUUAAAAUCCUUCCCUCUCCUCAAUGUUACAACUACAAUAACA